rnacentral:rRNA from 1 species
AUUGAACGCUUGCGGCAGGCUUAACACAUGCAAGUCGAACGAGUGGCGGCCGGGUGAGUAAUGCUUGGGAAUCUAGCUUAUGGAGGGGGAUAACUACGGGAAACUGUAGCUAAUCCAGCAUACCAUCCGAUGAACCCAUAUGGGAUUAGCUUGUAGGUGAGGUAACGGCUCACCUAGUCGACGAUCCCUAGCUGGUCUGAGAGGAUGAUCAGCCAAACUGUGACUGAGAAACGGCCCCGAAUCCUACGGGAGGGAGCAGUGGGAAAGAUUGCACCAUGGGAGCAAGCCGGAGGCAGCCAUGCAGCGUGUAUGAAGAAGUCCUUCGGGUUGUAAAGUACUUUCAGUCGGGAUGCGUUACCGACAGAAGAAGCACCGGCUAACUCCGUGCCAGCAGCCGCGGUAAUAC